UCAACUUCCUGUAGAGGACGCGCUCUGGCUUCACGGCUGGACGCGGAGUCUACGUGGUUACUUUGAAAAAAUUAGAGUGUUCAAAGCGGGCUUACGCUUGAAUAUUUCAGCAUGGAAUAACACUAUAGGACUCCUGUCCUAUUUCGUUGGUCUCGGGACGGGAGUAAUGAUUAAGAGGAACAGUUGGGGGCAUUCGUAUUUCAUUGUCAGAGGUGAAAUUCUUGGAUUUAUGAAAGACGAACUUCUGCGAAAGCAUUUGCCAAGGAUGUUUUCAUUAAUCAAGAACGAAAGUUGGGGGCUCGAAGAUGAUUAGAUACCAUCCUAGUCUCAACCAUAAACGAUGCCGACUAGGGAUUGCAGGAUGUUAAUUGAUGACUCCUGCAGCACCUUAUGAGAAAUCAAAGUUUUUGGGUUCCGGGGGGAGUAUGGUCGCAAGGCUGAAACUUAAAGGA
rnacentral:rRNA from 1 species